CAACAACAGACUCGGUGAAAUUGUAAUUCCGGUGAAGAUGCCGGAUACCUGCGACAGGACGGAAAGACCCCAUGGAGCUUUACUGUAGCUUGACAUUGGGUCUUGGUACUACAUGUACAGGGUAGGUGGGAGGCUUUGAAACCAGGACGCCAGUUUUGGCGGAGCCAUCCUUGGGAUACCACCCUUGUAGUACGGGGACUCUAACCAUAGGCCAUGAAUCUGGUCUUGGG
rnacentral:rRNA from 1 species